rnacentral:rRNA from 1 species
GUAGGGAGCAAGCGUUAUCCGGAUUUACUGGGUGUAAAGGGCGUGUAGGCGGGCAUGCAAGCCAGAAGUGAAAUCUGGGGGCUUAACCCCCAAACUGCUUUUGGAACUGCGUGUCUUGAGGGAUGGAGAGGCAGGCGGAAUUCCCAGUGUAGCGGUGAAAUGCGUAGAUAUUGGGAGGAACACCAGUGGCGAAGGCGGCCUGCUGGACAUUAACUGACGCUGAGGCGCGAAAGCGUGGGGAGCAAA